ACGCUUGAAGUCAGUCGCGUCGACCGAGACUCAGCCUUGCCUUGGCUUGGUGUACUUCUCGGCUGACGGGUCAGUGUCAAUUUUGGGCCUCGGAUAAUGACAAGGGAAAGGUGGCACCUUUAUAGGUGUGUUAUAGUCUCCUGUCGGAUGCGAGGGUCGGGAUUGAGGAACUCAGCACGCGCCUUUUGGUGUCGGGGCUUCGGCCUACGCUACGUGCUUAGGAUGCUGGCAUAAUGGCUUUAAACGACCCGUCUUGAAACACGGACCAAGGAGUC
rnacentral:rRNA from 1 species